rnacentral:rRNA from 1 species
GGGGGCCCAGCAAUGGGCAACCGGCGAACGGGUGCGUAACACGUGAGCAACCUACCGAACUGUGGGGGAUAGCCGGCCUAACGGCCGAGUAAUACCGCAUACGCUCUCAGAGAGGCAUUUCAUUGAGAGGAAACCUACGGGACAGAUCGAGGGGCUCGUGGCCUAUCAGCUAGUUGGCGAGGUAACGGCUCACCAAGGCAACGACGGGUAGCUGGUCUGAGAGGAUGGCCAGCCACAUUGGGACUGAGAUACGGCCCAGACUCCUACGGGAGGCAGCAGUGGGGAAUCUUGCGCAAUGGCCUAACGGCUGACGCAGCGACGCCGCGUGUGGGAUGAAGCUCCUCGGA